rnacentral:rRNA from 1 species
AAUGAACGUUGGCGGCGUGGAUUAGGCAUGCAAGUCGAGCGAGAACCGUAGCAAUACGGGGAAAGCGGCGCAAGGGACAGUAAUGUGUAGGUACCUACCCCUGGGUUCGGGAUAGCCGCGGGAAACUGCGGGUAAUACCGAAUAACGUCUUCGGACCAAAGGUGUGAUUCCACCUGGGGAGGGGCCCGCAUCCUAUUAGCUAGUUGGUGGGGUAACGGCUCACCAAGGCCAUGAUGGGUAGCAGGUGUGAGAGCACGACCUGCGUCACUGGGACUGGGACACUGCCCAGACACCGAGGGGUGGCUGCAGUGGAGCAUCUUCGGCAAUGGGCGCAAGCCUGACCGAGCGACGCCGCGUGCGGGAUGAAGGCCUUCGGGUUGUAAACCGCUGUCAGUGGGGAGGAAGGCUCCGUGAAGAACGGGGUUUGACCUAUCCGCAGAGGAAGUGUGGGCUAAGUUCGUGCCAUCAGCCGCCGUAAAAC